rnacentral:pre_miRNA from 1 species
AGUGGAGUUGCUGAGCCAUAUGGUAAUUCUGUUUAACUUUUUGAAGAACUGUCAAACUGUUUUCCCUAGUAGUUACACCAUUUUACAGUCUCUCAGCAAU